rnacentral:rRNA from 1 species
CCUACGGGUGGCAGCAGUGGGGAAUAUUGGUCAAUGGGCGCAAGCCUGAACCAGCCAAGUAGCGUGAAGGAUGACGGCCCUACGGGUUUUAAACUUCUUUUAUAGAGACAUCAAGUACGGCACUUGUUCCUUUUUGUAUGUCCUUUAUGAAUACAGCUCGGCUAACUCCGUGCCAGCAGCCGCGGUAAUACGGAGGAUCCGCGCGUUAUCCGGAUUUAGUGGGUGUAAAGGGAGCGUAGAUGGGUUGUUAAGUCAGUUGUGAAAGUUUGCGGCUCAACCGUAAAAUUGCAAUUGAUACUGGUAGCCUGGAGUACAGUUGAGGUAGGCGGAAUUCGUGGUGUAGCGGUGAAAUGCUUAGAUAUCAAGAAGAAUUCUGAUUGCGAAGGCAGCCUACUAGACGGUAACUGACACUGAUGCUCGAAAGCGUGGGUAUCAAACAGGAUUAGAUACCCGAGUAGUC